UACGUAGGUGGCAAGCGUUGUCCGGAAUUACUGGUGUAAAGGGAGCGCAGGCGGGAAGCCAAGUCAGCUGUGAAAACUACGGGCUUAACUUGUAGACUGCAGUUGAAACUGGUUUUCUUGAGUGAAGUAGAGGUUGGCGGAAUUCCGAGUGUAGCGGUGAAAUGCGUAGAUAUUAGAAGGAACACCAGUGGCGAAGGCGGCUUACUGGACAGUAACUGACGUCGAGGCUCGAAAGCGUGGGGAGCAAACAGG
rnacentral:rRNA from 1 species